AGCUCUGGGGUGUUAUCAUGCGGGGUUGCAAACCUUGAGAUGUGGAGUCAGAUCUGCCGGAGCUU
rnacentral:tRNA from 1 species